GACGAACGCUGGCGGCGUGCCUAAUACAUGCAAGUAGAACGCUGAAGGAGGAGCUUGCUCUUCUGGAUGAGUUGCGAACGGGUGAGUAACGCGUAGGUAACCUGCCUGGUAGUGGGGGAUAACUAUUGGAAACGAUAGCUAAUACCGCAUAAUAACAGUUGUUGCAUGACAACUGUUUGAAAGGUGCAAUUGCAUCACUACCAGAUGGACCUGCGUUGUAUUAGCUAGUUGGUGGGGUAACGGCUCACCAAGGCGACGAUACAUAGCCGACCUGAGAGGGUGAUCGGCCACACUGGGACUGAGACACGGCCCAGACGCCUACGGGAGGCAGCAGUAGGGAAUCUUCGGCAAUGGACGAAAGUCUGACCGAGCAACGCCGCGUGAGUGAAGAAGGUUUUCGGAUCGUAAAGCUCUGUUGUAAGAGAAGAACGAGUGUGAGAGUGGAAAGUUCACACUGUGACGGUAUCUUACCAGAAAGGGACGGCUAACUACGUG
rnacentral:rRNA from 1 species